GGGGCGGUAGCUCAGCUGGUCAGAGCAGGCGACUCAUAAUCGCUCGGUCACGGGUUCAAGUCCCGUCCGCCCUA
rnacentral:tRNA from 5 species